AUGAAGAUACGUGAGAUGCUUAACAUGCUUCUUGAUGCCGCUCAUUCCGAGGAAUGCUAUUCUGAGCCCGAGCUCAGAUGCACUCGUUAUCAUAGCCGUCUAGGUUUCUCGGGAUUCGCACUGAUGCAUGUAUAUCGCUGGGUAUUCCGGCAGCCAGCAGCCGUCACGCGCCCGAUAGCGGCUCAGAUGGAAACUCCACUUAUUGGGCCAUGGCUCAGAUGUCCAAACGAAGAACAUGGCAAGCUCAUCUUCGUCCUCCCAGGCCGGCGGGGUGCUCCCUUUGAUUCCUUGUCCAGAAUGCCGUUGCAAGAACGGUUCUACAAAAUUUUUGGUAUCCCAUGUGGUCACCGUAAUAUCCGUGGUCGUGACGGGCACAUCAACCCAGAAGCCAUCAAGUUUAUAAAGAUUACUUUGGGGAUGGACAAAAAAGGAGUUCACAGCCUGGGUGCAGCUGAAGAUUUCCUUAAGAGGGAUAUUUAUGAAUCAUCAAGCAAGCUCGAGAAGGACUGCUUCCAAAUUGCCUUCGUGAUUUUUGUCAUGGGUCACGUCCUUGCGCCCAGCACCAAGCAUGAUUAUGGCAGUAUUGAUUUCUGGGGAGCGUUGGCGGACACUGAGAACAUAGACCAAUUCAAUUGGUGCGAGGUAGGUGUGUUUGAUCAAGACUCAUUCCACAAAAUGAUAAUCCAGGCCGGUGAUGUUGGGAAGUCUACCUCAUCUUACGUGAGUGGUCCGUUACGCCACUACUCCCUUGUGUGCUAUGCUCGGUCCAAGCUUGGCGAGACGGAGAAGUCAGACUCUAGGCACACCGCAAAGUCCCCACCGCAGCCAGCUACGUCCUGUGCCGGUAGCUCGGCUAAGUCAUCUCGUAGAGAUCUGCCCAGCCCACCUCACGCACCUCAUAUGAUUCACGAGUUGACGCCGACCACAAUACGCAUGUUAGGCCCUUCUGAUUUCUUGAAUUAUCUAAACAGGCAGUACCCUCAUCUGGCAAGUGAUGAGAUGACAGCCUUAAUGAAGGAGCUAAAUGCUUGUUGCCUAUCACACAUUACAACUGCGCGGGGGCAAAUUCAGCUUGAGAUGAUGAGGUUCGCUGACAAGUUGUAUGCUGCAAGGAGUCGCGUGUGCAGUUGCUGUACAACACGUGCACAUGUGGUCUCCCCCCCAGAGCUACCUCUGCUACCAAAGAUGACGGUGUUACUACUCCAGCAACAACUCCUUUUGCAGGCCGCCGUCUGCAGUUAUCGUCGUGCGAAGCUCAAUUGUGAUGCCGAGACCGAGAACCCAUACCUAAGAUGGAGACACCCAAUUGAGCUUGAAUUCUCAACCCUGGUGUUGUCGGAUUCUGACUUCUUGCACACAGUGUCGAUACAGAAGCAGCUUUCUGCGGAUGCUCUGAAAUAUGAUUUGACAUCCGCCCAAAUGUUCAUCACUACUGUACCACGGCCGGAAGGCUGGAUGGCCGUCAUAUGGGCCAUGCAGCUCAGAGUAAUAAACCUCCUUGAUCCGCUGUACAAACGAAACACAGUAGCUCCUUCGCAUUUAGAUCAAGAUGAAGCAGCUGCGUGGAAGCUCCACAAUGCAUUAUUUGCAUGCCUACACGAAUUCUAUGCUGGGUGGCCAUCAGUGCAGGAAAAUUGGAGAAUCAAGCAUGAACCUACAACAGAUGUCACAUUUUCACCCGCUGAGACCGGUGUUUGCGCCAUACAUAUUGUUCGACAGUUCGAUGGCAACAAGUUGAAGUUACCACUUACUAAGCCUAUCACGAUAUCCUAUGUUGACACGCCGAUGCACAUUUGUCCACAGCCCAACAUUUCGAAAACCAAGAAUGACGCCUUGCACGAGUGCUUGAAGCUGCAGGGCAACUUCUUCGAUCUCGCGCACAAGGCUCUGUGGAAGGCUUUAGCGGGAUCCGAUUCCGAAUUUGAUGGCUAG
rnacentral:rRNA from 1 species